UACGGAGGUGGCGAGCGUUGCUCGGAUUCAUUGGGUGUAAAGGGUCGGUAGGCGGGCUGGUAAGUGCCCGGUGAAAUUCUACGGCUCAACCGUAGAACGUCCGGGUAGACUGCCGGUCUUGAGGACUGGAGGGGCAGGCGGAAUUCCCGGUGUAAGGGUGAAAUCUGUAGAUAUCGGGAGGAACACCAGUGGCGAAGGCGGCCUGCUGGACAGUCCCUGACGCUGAGCGACGAAAGCGUGGGGAGCAAACAGGAUUAGAAACCCUGGUAGU
rnacentral:rRNA from 1 species